GGCUCGUUGCUAAGGGGUUUCCCCAAGAAGAAGGGGUGGAUUUCUUUGAAACCUUUAGCCCAGUUCUCAAGCCAGGCACUAUUUGUAUUGUCCUUAGUGUGGUCACUAUUUGAGAUUGGCUUAUUCGUCAACUUGACGUCAAGAACACCUUUCUCCAUGGAUCACUUGAUGUCUCGAUUUAUAUGAAGCAACCACCUGGCUUCUGUGAUCUCUCUCGACCCGAUUCUGUUUGUCUAUUUCGCAGGGCACUCUAUGGCCUCAAGCAGGCUCCAUAUGCCUGGUUUGACAAGUUCAAUGAGUUUCUUCUCACAUAUGGGUUUAUGUGUAGCUCAGUUGGCCCUUCUCUUUUUGUCUAUUGUCAACAUGGCCAUACGAUCUCUUACUUUUGUAUGUUGAUGAUAUUGUCUUAAGGGGUGACUCGACGGGUUUAUUGGAUGAUCUUAUUCAACAUCUCAGUAAGGUUUUCUUCAUGAAGGGCCUUGGAGCCCUUCAAUACUUUCUCGGCAUUCAAGUCACACGUUCUUUUCAUGGACUACAUCUCAGUCAACGCAGAUAUGCAUCUAAUCUUCUUGUUCGCACAUCCAUGGAACAUAGUCGGCUUAUCGCUACACCGUCCACCUCUAAGCCACCAUUAUCUAAGGACAGUACUGAGCCUUAUCCUGAUGUUACUCAAUUCAGGAGUAUGGUAGGUAGGUGCAUUACGGUACCUUACUUUGACUCAUCCGGACCUUGCUUUCGCGGUUAAUUCGGCUUGUCAACAUAUGCAUGCGCCAACCAUUGCCCAUUUUCAACAGGUUAAGUGCAUUUUGCGGUAUAUUAAAGGCACUUUAGAUCAUGGUCUUCGAAUUCAUUCUCAAGUUCUCUAGAUCUCUGUGCCUUUGCUGAUGCCGACUGAGCCAGUUACAAACUUACCUGGCGUUCUAGUACCGGUUACUGCACUUUCCUAGGCUCUAACUGUGUUUCGUGGAGUGCUAAGAAGCAACCUACAUUUGCUUGCUCCACUGCCGAAGCUGAAUAUCAGGCAUUUGCUUUUGCCGCGGCUGCACACACAUGGGUUUCUUUUGUUCUUCGAGAUAUUGGCAUUCCACAGCCUCGACCAUCUUUACUAUUCUCGGACAAUGUCGUGGCUCUUCAUCUUACUACUAACCCCUUUUUCACGCUCAAACAAAGCAUGUGGAAAUUGACUACCACUUUGUUCGAGAGAAGAUCACCCUUGGAAACAUUGUUACACGGUACAGUUGUCGUUCUAGAAGCUCUCUCCAGCCAAUCAUUAACCAGUAGCCUUUCUCCACUCCAAAGACUGAUCUUGUGGAAUUAUUAAUCCAAAUCCAAUAAACCUUGUUUUAUAUACAUGUAUAUAUAUAUAGGAUGUAUAUAUAUAUAUAUAUAUAUUCACAGAGCCAAGUCCAACUAUGAUACCUAAUAAUUCGUUCGCCGGCACCAUUCCCCUCUCAGGUGUCAGUCCAAGAGGGACUGGUACAUGAGAGUGAGAACUCUCAGGUCAUUAAAUUAUGACAAAGCAGUCUAAUUUCUUUUUCUUUUUCACUUAAGUUAAAAAUAGUUUUAUUUCUCAAUAGCGUGUAAAAUGCUGGAUAACGGAUUGUGUGGAUAGUCGGCUGUCACAUCCACUAAAAUUUUGACAUUUCAAUGAAAUUAAUAUAUCAAUUUUUGAUAAA